rnacentral:rRNA from 1 species
UGGUGGAGCGAUUUGUCUGGUUAAUUCCGAUAACGAACGAGACCACAACUUGUUAACUAGGGUAGGGAAGUGUCUACCGGGUGAAGGUCCGAAGCAGGUGGCGGUCCGCCGUUGCCUCUUUGGGGUGGAUCCUUGACUUCUUCCUCUGCCCUUCUUAAAAGGACUAUUAGGGCUUACCUAAUGGAAGAGUGGCAAUAACA